CUCAAGAACGAACGCUGGCGGCAUGCCUAACACAUGCAAGUCGAACGAGACCUUCGGGUCUAGUGGCGCACGGGUGCGUAACACGGUGGGAAUUUGCCUCGGGGUAUGGAAUAACUCAGGGAAACUUGAGCUAAUACCAUAUAAUGUCUUCGGACCAAAGAUUUAUCGCCCUGAGAUAAGCCCGCGUAGGAUUAGCUAGUUGGUGAGGUAAAGGCUCACCAAGGCGACGAUCCUUAGCUGGUCUGAGAGGAUGAUCAGCCACACUGGGACUGAGACACGGCCCAGACUCCUACGGGAGGCAGCAGUGGGGGAAUAUUGGACAAUGGGCGAAAGCCUGAUCCAGCAAUGCCGCGUGAGUGAUGAAGGCCUUCGGGUUGUAAAGCUCUUUUACUCGGGACGAUAAUGACGGUACCGAGAGAAUAAGCCCCGGCUAACUCCGUG
rnacentral:rRNA from 1 species